UAGGGAAUCUUCCACAAUGGGCGAAAGCCUGAUGGAGCAACGCCGCGUGUGUGAUGAAGGGUUUCGGCUCGUAAAACACUGUUGUAAGAGAAGAAUGACGUUGAGAGUAACUGUUCAAUGUGUGACGGUAUCUUACCAGAAAGGAACGGCUAAAUACGUGCCAC
rnacentral:rRNA from 1 species